rnacentral:rRNA from 1 species
GACGAACGCUGGCGGCGUGCUUAACACAUGCAAGUCGAACGGAAAGGCCCUGCUUUUGUGGGGUGCUCGAGUGGCGAACGGGUGAGUAACACGUGAGUAACCUGCCCUUGACUUUGGGAUAACUUCAGGAAACUGGGGCUAAUACCGGAUAGGAGCUCCUGCUGCAUGGUGGGGGUUGGAAAGUUUCGGCGGUUGGGGAUGGACUCGCGGCUUAUCAGCUUGUUGGUGGGGUAGUGGCUUACCAAGGCUUUGACGGGUAGCCGGCCUGAGAGGGUGACCGGCGACAUGGGGACUGAGAUACGGCCCAGACUCCUACGGGAGGAAGCAGUGGGGAAUAGUGCACAAUGGGCGGAAGCCUGAUGCAGCAACGCCGCGUGCGGGAUGACGGCCUUCGGGUUGUAAACAGAUUGGGCCUGUGACGAAGCGUGAGUGACGGUAAUGGGUAAAGAAGCACCGGCUAACUACGUG